GUAAAACAACAACGGCAUAAUGGCAGCAUUGAGUUAGCAGAUAACAUUGUUUACUGAUCUCAUUGGUUUGCAUGGAUGAAAUAGAAGGCAAUAUUUACGAGCAGGUUGUAUAUACAGUUUAUACCACGGACAACUUUUUUGUUGUUUAUGUUAUAUCACAUAUUCACACUGUCACACAUAGCAUCUCUCCAUAGCUUGUGGUUUAGUGCAGAGUGCAGAGUUGAUGCAUAAAGGCCGCCUGUGCGAGUAACUAACCCCCUAAUUCUACAGGAUGCGGAACGGCUGCAGAUCCGCUUCGGAACAGCGGCGGAGUCAUUAGGUUUCCAUUAAAGUCAAUCAUUUUAACUCAA